UAGUGGCGAACGGGUGAGUAACACGUGGGCAAUCUGCCCUUCACUCUGGGACAAGCCCUGGAAACGGGGUCUAAUACCGGAUAACACUNCCACUCGCAUGGGUGGGGGUUAAAAGCUCCGGCGGUGAAGGAUGAGCCCGCGGCCUAUCAGCUUGUUGGUGAGGUAACGGCUCACCAAGGCGACGACGGGUAGCCGGCCUGAGAGGGCGACCGGCCACACUGGGACUGAGACACGGCCCAGACUCCUACGGGAGGCAGCAGUGGGGAAUAUUGCACAAUGGGCGAAAGCCUGAUGCAGCGACGCCGCGUGAGGGAUGACGGCCUUCGGGUUGUAAACCUCUUUCAGCAGGGAAGAAGCGAAAGUGACGGUACCUGCAGAAGAAGCGCCGGCUAACUACGUGCCAGCAGCCGCGGUAAUACGUAGGGCGCAAGCGUUGUCCGGAAUUAUUGGGCGUAAAGAGCUCGUAGGCGGCUUGUCACGUCGGGUGUGAAAGCCCGGGGCUUAACCCCGGGUCUGCAUUCGAUACGGGCUAGCUAGAGUGUGGUAGGGGAGAUCGGAAUUCCU
rnacentral:rRNA from 2 species